rnacentral:rRNA from 1 species
AUACGGAGGGGGCGAGCGUUGUCCGGAAUGAUUGGGCGUAAAGGGCGCGUAGGCGGCCCGGUAAGUCUGGAGUGAAAGUCCUGCUUUUAAGGUGGGAAUUGCUUUGGAUACUGUCGGGCUUGAGUGCAGGAGAGGUAAGUGGAAUUCCCAGUGUAGCGGUGAAAUGCGUAGAUAUCAGGAAGAAUACCAGUGGCGAAGGCGGUUUGCUGGCUGCAUACUGACGCUGAAGCGCGAAAGCCAGGGGAGCAAACGGGAUUAGAUACCCCGGUAGUCCUGGCAGUAAACGAUGUAUGCUGGGUGUGGGAGUAGCGAUACCUCCGUGCCGAAGUUAACGCGAUAAGCAUACCGCCUGGGGAGUACGGUCGCAAGAUUGAAACUCAAAGGAAUUGGCGGGG